rnacentral:rRNA from 1 species
CAAUAGCGUAUAUUAAUGUUGUUGCAGUUAAAAAGCUCGUAGUUGGAUUUCUGGUGGGAGCGGCCGGUCCGCCGUAAGGUGUGUACUUGGUUGUCUCCUGUCAUCCUUGUGGGAACUGCUCUGGCAUUAAGUUGUCGGGGUUAGGGAACACAUCGUUUACUGUGAAAAAAUUAGAGUGUUUAAAGCAGGCUUAUGCCGUUGAAUACAUUAGCAUGGAAUAAUAAGAUAGGACUUUGGCGUCUAUUUUGUUGGUUUGCACACCAAGGUAAUGAUUAAUAGGGAUAGUUGGGGGUAUUCGUAUUUAAUUGUCAGAGGUGAAAUUCUUGGAUUUAUGAAAGACGAACUUCUGCGAAAGCAUUUACCAAAGAUGUUUUCACUAA